UACGAAGGGGGCUAGCGUUGCUCGGAAUCACUGGGCGUAAAGCGCACGUAGGCGGCUUUCUAAGUCAGGGGUGAAAUCCUGGAGCUCAACUCCAGAACUGCCUUUGAUACUGGGAAGCUCGAGUCCGGAAGAGGUGAGUGGAACUCCGAGUGUAGAGGUGAAAUUCGUAGAUAUUCGGAAGAACACCAGUGGCGAAGGCGGCUCACUGGUCCGGUACUGACGCUGAGGUGCGAAAGCGUGGGGAGCAAACGGG
rnacentral:rRNA from 1 species